rnacentral:rRNA from 1 species
GACGAACGCUGGCGGCGCGCUUAACACAUGCAAGUCGAGCGAAGCGGCGGACGGGUGAGUAACACGCGAGUAACCUGACUUAGACAUUGGGAUAGCCUCGGGAAACCGGGAUUAAUACCAAAUGGUCUAAGAUGGACUCGAGUCACAUUAGAAAGUUGGUGAGGUAACGGCCCACCAAGGCGACGAUGGGUAGCCGGCGUUGUAGGGUGAACGGAUACAUUGACACUGAGAAACGGUCCAGACUCUACGGGAGGCAGCAGUUGUGAAUAUUGCACAAUGGAGGGAACUCUGAUGCAGCUACGCCUCGAGAACGAAGAAGUCUUUCGAGUCGUAAAGUGCUUUUAUAUGGGAAGCGGUACCAUAAGAAAAAGCCCCGGCUAACUACGUGCCAGCAGCCGCGGUAAUAC